AUCGUUCCAGGGAAAAGUUAGCGAUGCAGCAGUUCACUGCACCGCGUUAUGCAGCGAGUUUGAGUAUGCUCACCACGUCAUCAGGAUUACGGAUCGGCUGCGGAUUCGAUUUGGUGAAAAUCGAGAACAUGGCAUUCUCGCCAAUGAGAGCGAAUUGCUUUUCCGUCACACCAACAUCUGCAAGACGACGGGGAAGACCAAGCUUCGCGAUGAAGUUCGCGAAACCAUCGCUCGCUU
rnacentral:misc_RNA from 1 species